rnacentral:rRNA from 1 species
AACGAACGCUGGCGGCAUGCCUAACACAUGCAAGUCGAACGAGACCUUCGGGUCUAGUGGCGCACGGGUGCGUCACGCGUGGGAACCUGCCCUUAGGUUCGGAAUAACUCCCCGAAAGGGGUGCUAAUACCGGAUAAUGUCUUCGGACCAAAGAUUUAUCGCCUUUGGAUGGGCCCGCGUUGGAUUAGCUAGUUGGUAGGGUAAAAGCCUACCAAGGCGACGAUCCAUAGCUGGUCUGAGAGGAUGAUCAGCCACACUGGGACUGAGACACGGCCCAGACUCCUACGGGAGGCAGCAGUGGGGAAUAUUGGACAAUGGGCGAAAGCCUGAUCCAGCAAUGCCGCGUGAGUGAUGAAGGCCUGAGGGUUGUAAAGCUCUUUUACCCGGGAUGAUAAUGACAGUACCGGGAGAAUAAGCUCCGGCUAACUCCGUG